CAUGGCUGUCGUCAGCUCGUGUCGUGAGAUGUUGGGUUAAGUCCCGCAACGAGCGCAACCCUUGUCUUUAGUUGCCAUCAUUAAGUUGGGCACUCCUAAAGAGACUGCCGGUAGUCAAACCGGAGGAAGGUGGGGAUGACGUCAAGUCCUCAUGGCCUUUAUGCCCAGGGCUACACACGUGCUACAAUGGGCGGUACAAAGAGAAGCAACCUCGCGAGGGUGAGCAAAUCUCAAAAAGCCGUUCUCAGUUCGGAUUGAAGUCUGCAACUCGACUUCAUGAAGUCGGAAUCGCUAGUAAUCGCGGAUCAGCAGACCGCGGUGAAUACGUUCCCGGGUUUU
rnacentral:rRNA from 1 species